rnacentral:rRNA from 1 species
AACAUGCNUGUNGAGCGAACCCUUCGGGGGUAGCGGCGGACGGGUGAGUAACACGUGGGUAACCUGCCUAUAAGACUGGGAUAACUUCGGGAAACCGAGGCUAAUACCGGAUAAUCCUUUUCCUCACGUGAGGGAAAGCUGAAAGACGGCGCAAGCUGUCACUUACAGAUGGGCCCGCGGCGCAUUAGCUAGUUGGUGAGGUAACGGCUCACCAAGGCAACGAUGCGUAGCCGACCUGAGAGGGUGAUCGGCCAACUGGGACUGAGACACGGCCCAGACUCCUACGGUAUUUUUUUUUUUUUGGAAUCUUCCGCAUUGGACGAAUGUCUGACGGAGCUUCGCCGCGUGAGUGAUGAU